rnacentral:rRNA from 1 species
GCAGGCUGCAACUCGCCUGCAUGAAGUCGGAAUUGCUGUAAUCGCAGAUCAGCAUGCUGCGGUGAAUACGUUCCCGGGCCUUGUACACACCGCCCGUCACACCAUGGGAGUCGGUAACACCCGAAGUCGGUAGCCUAACCGUAAGGAGGGCGCCGCCGAAGGUGGGAUUGAUGACUGGGGUGAAGUCGUAACAAGGUACC